rnacentral:rRNA from 1 species
CGUGUAGGCGGUCAAGUAAGUGGAAUGUGAAACGCCUCGGCUUACCCGAGGACCUGCAUCCCAAACUGCUUGGCUUGAGUAUGGGAGAGGAUGAGGGAAUUCCUGGUGUAGCGGUGAAAUGCGUAGAUAUCAGGAGGAACACCGGUGGCGAAAGCGCUCAUCUGGCCCAAUACUGACGCUGAGGCGCGAAAGCUAGGGAGCAAACG